GGUUCGAUGGCGUAGUUGGUUAUCGCAUCUGUCUAACAUUCCUUUUAACAGGUAUAUGUUUCACAGAAGGUCCUCAGUUCGAGCCUGGGUCGAAUCA